CCUGCCCUUGGGUCCGGCAUAACCCCGGGAAACUGGGGAUAAUUCCGGAUAACGCACAUAUGCUGGAAUGCUUUAUGCGUCAAAUGGAUUCGUCUGCCCAAGGAUGGGUCUGCGGCCUAUCAGGUAGUAGUGGGUGUAAUGUACCUACUAGCCGACGACGGGUACGGGUUGUGAGAGCAAGAGCCCGGAGAUGGAUUCUGAGACAUGAAUCCAGGCCCUACGGGGCGCAGCAGGCGCGAAAACUUUACAAUGCGGGAAACCGUGAUAAGGGGACACCGAGUGCCAGCAUCAUAUGCUGGCUGUCCGGGUGUGUAAAAUACACCUGUUAGCAAGGGCCGGGCAAGACCGGUGCCAGCCGCCGCGGUAACACCGGCGGCCCGAGUGGUGAUCGUGAUUAUUGGGUCUAAAGGGUCCGUAGCCGGUUUGGUCAGUCCUCCGGGAAAUCUGACGGCUUAACCGUUAGGCUUUCGGAGGAUACUGCCAGGCUUGGAACCGGGAGAGGUAAGAGGUACUACAGGGGUAGGAGUGAAAUCUUGUAAUCCCUGUGGGA
rnacentral:rRNA from 1 species